rnacentral:rRNA from 1 species
UGAGGAAUAUUGGUCAAUGGACGGAAGUCUGAACCAGCCAUGCCGCGUGCAGGAUGACGGCUCUAUGAGUUGUAAACUGCUUUUGUAUGAGGGUAAAACUGGGUACGUGUACCCACUUGAAAGUAUCAUACGAAUAAGGAUCGGCUAACUCCGUGCCAGCAGCCGCGGUAAUACGGAGGAUUCGAGCGUUAUCCGGAUUUAUUGGGUUUAAAGGGUGCGUAGGCGGUAAUUUAAGUUAGUCGUUAAAUCGGAAGGCUCAACCUUCUCAUGGCGAUUAAUACUGGGUUACUAGAGAUUAGAUGCAGAGGGCGGAAUGUGUAGUGUAGCGGUGAAAUGCUUAGAUAUUACACAGAACACCGAUUGCGAAGGCAGCUCUCUAAUCUACAUCUGACGCUCAGGCACGAAAGCGUGGGGAUCAAACA